CGGCUCGUUUUCCGCACGGGACAAGGAGGCAGCCGGGAGAUGUCUCAAGGUAGCGGGAUCGACAGCGUCGUCCUCAGCCGGCGUGGUGGAGCGUGGCGCCGAUGUCGUCGCCAUUUCUUCAUCCGUGUCAGGGUACCGACAGAUGGCUCAAUGGCGUUGGAUCGAUGCCGUUGUCCUCGGCGGGGUGGAGCUGGGAGCCAUCGCCGUCGUCCUUUCUUCGCGUAUGUCGCCAUAUUUGUCGACUACAAAUCCCAGGUUUCUGCCGCCGCUAGGUCCUCCCUCCCGUGGUCACUCUCAUCCGUGGAGGUGCGGACAAGGAGGUCCAGCGCUAUUUGAGGCAAAGCAGCGGAUUAUUUCUCCAUUCACGACUUGACCUAGAUUUCUGCCGCUGGUAGGUCCUCCCUCCUGUGGUCGCGCUCAGCUGUGGAGAUGCGGAUGAGGUGGUGCAGCACUGUUUGAGGCAAACCAGCAUAUUAUUUGUUCCUCCAUUCACCACUUGACCUAGGUCUUGGUUGAAUGAUUCAAUUUAUAGAGGCGAUUACACAAGUUCUGAUUUGAGAUGAUUUUGCUAGAUUAGAUACAAAUAGAAGAAGUGGUUCAAGGAUAACCAUCUCAGAUCGCUAUGAGAAGGGCAGACCAGUGAGGAUUCAGAUCGAUGGGGUGAGUUUUAACAUACAUCUCAAUUUUUAAGUGAAAGCUUUGAUAUGUGUAAGACUUUAGACUUCUCCAUGAUGAACCUUGGAUUGGUGUUCCUCAAGAUCAACUUGGCUUUCAUAUUCCAGGUGCAUUAUCUAAAAAUAUUCUCAAGGCAUUACAAGAUAGUUGACAAGAAUGUGCUAAACAGACUGCCUACAAGCUUCAUCAACGACAAACAUGACUCAUCUACAGGAGUUGUAUUGUAUGCAUAAUUGCCUUCAUCCUAGACCAGUCAAGGAGAUGGUGUGGCAGGGAAGGAGCACUGCAGGCUGCUGCUUAGCUCCAUAUCAGGUGGAGUGCGAGAAGAUCUUUCCCCGCGUGGAUAAGGCUGCGUUGAUCCAUGUUUUCUUCGGCUCAGUAUAGCAGAGUAUAUGUAAAGAGGUAGCUUUUGGAGGUCCGCAACAAGGACAUGCCGGAGAACUGCUGGUCUUACAGAAGCAGCUUCAUGUAGCACGUCGAGGUACCAAUCAGAAUUAGCCUCGAAGCUAUGAUGAAAAAACUGCGCCUUCCGUGUCCUAAGUACGAAAGCCAGAUUGUUGGAGGAUGCUACUUUUCCACCAAAAUAAUGUUUUACCCUUCUGCACACUUUCUUCGGACUUCCCUCCACCCAGAAGAUGCCUUGGAUAAAACAACAAAUCAAGCUGCGGCAAAAACAAUCAUGUACAUGGAGAUUGGAGCGAAGAAGUUCUCAAAGAUUUCAACUACACUGCGCUAGAAAGAUAGAAGAAUGUGAAUAGAGGUCUCCACCGUUGGCUGGACACAAAAAGAAUCAAAGGCUGACAAAGAAGACCAAAUAACUGAUACACUAGGGUGGCCAGAACUUUCAGUUAUUCGUACACUUUGUUUUUCUUAGCUUCAACAUUUCUUAUACCAGUUCAAAAGAACAUUCAUAUAUUUUUAGUUUGCACCAGGUAUGAUAAAACACUAGCUUUGUCUAUUAUUUGGUGGGGAUUUUCAAAGUUGCAAUAUUUCUGAUUUGUUGCUUUGCUCUAUACACUUUCGUGCCAUGCUCUAUAAGAUUUUUUACUCGCUGUAAGGCUAAAUUUUAUUCUUUGUUGCCCAAGAGUAUGUAAAAAUGAUAGGGAUAAUAUUUCCUACUCAAAAGCAUGGAAAUAAUUAACUGAAUCUUUUGGAUUUAAAUAGGUCUUAAAUUCCCAUUCA